ACAUUUUGUUUUCUUUCUGUUUCCUGUUGCAGAUAAAGAUAAAGAUAAAAGCUGUGUGCGCGCAUGUGUGUUUGAGCUAAAGAGAUAUCGGAAGGAAGUUGUCAGAUCAACCACAGUGACUAAUCGUUCUUAGUUCCACAUCCUUCCGACAGCAGAAACCCAGCAGGCGAAGUGAAAGCGGCACCGAGGCUGUCCUUGACUGUGCCUGAACACUGCGGUACCCUCCCACAAGACCCCGUGGAUAAAAACUACCUGACGCCCUCUCAGUGGAUGUCCACAGAGGAGAUGCGUCAACGGGCGUCUGUGCUUCUCUCACUGUGUCCCUGAUCCCAUCGCGCUGCACCAUAGAGGUCCCUUUGUUGAAGAAUGUGAAUCUAAUGGCUAGCAGCUAACAGGGGCGGCUCCAUUGCAGAGGUCUGGAUGGUGGACAGAGGUAGCGUGUUGAAGAAAUGCAUAGCCAGCGAACAGAGAAGAGGAGGAGGCAGAGGUAAUGCUAUCAGGUAAAUGAGACACAGAAUGAUGAACUGUGGGAUAAAAGCUCGAAGCAAACAUCCAUGGGAGGCUCAGAUGGUGAAAGAAAAUUGUCCGGAAAAAAAAAAAAAAAAAAUGUUUUAUUCCCCCUCCAGGUCCAGAUUGCUAACGCUAUAGCUAAUGCUCCUGUUGUGAUGGGUAGAGCAACUGCUAAGCACGAAAGGGAGGGAGGUGAACACAGAUGGAGGGAGGGGGAUGAGAGCGGAGGAGAACAGGAUGGGUGGAGGAGGGAGGAGGGAAUCUCGGGGGAGAAUGCCGUCAUGCCUGACCAAUGACAGGCAUGCAGUGGAAGCCCCUUCCACCCUCCUCAAAUCCUCAUUUGUUCUCCAUUUCCAACCAUCGCAUGCACCACAUCUUUCUGUCUGGCUCACAGAGUACGUUAUUGCCAAGAUGCAGAGCAGGAGGAUGUUCUAAAAACCAACCAUGUGUGAUUCAUUUACAGCGGAAAGCCUGAGUGUGACUGCGUAAAAAAGCUAAAUAAAAUGCAUCUUUUAUUUGAACCUGUAAAUGUACUAUUGUUAGAAAUCUUAUGUCUUCAUUUGUCUCUUAAUUUCUUCUAUUUGUCCAUAGGCAUCUUCUAGAGGUAAUGUCAAAAUAUGUUAGGACCUAUAAUAAUAUCACAUGCAUUAACAAUAAAAAUAUUACAUAAAUUGACUGGACAUUUACUUGUCUAUGAGCUGAUUGGGGACCAAUACAAUCUAUAUACUAAUCUAUUAUAUUAAUCAUAAUAUCUAAUUACCGUUAAAAAAAACGUAACAUUUACCUUUUCAGUUUAAACUGGCUCAUAAUUGGCUGGUAUAUUGGUAAGCUGCAUGUUUGUGAAAUUUAUUGAUACAUUUGGUUUAUUUGAGGAUGUAAAAGUGGAAAUGGUUUGGGGUGAUAUUACCCACCUUUAUUUACCGGAUAUCCAUGGCUACAUGAAAAUUCUUGAUUUUUUAACUUAUUCUGUUAAAAAAUGAUUUUAAAAUGCUAAAUUGUUUAUUUUAUUUAAGCAAAAAGACUACAAACAGCAUUUCCUAUCUUUCAAAAUUUAAGUUGUGUUUAAUGUUGUCUAUUAAUGUCUAUUACUUGUUUAGCGUAUGUGUGUGAGUCUGACUCUACGCUUCCAUUUAAAUACAUUUAAAAUGUUUUGUUUACAGAUUUCAAAUAAUAAUAAUUAUUAUUUUAUAAUAAUAACAACAAAUAAUACAUUUCUCUAUCAACCUCUGCAGGAACCAUGCUGCAUCCAUAACUGUUUCUUCUAAUGGGAGAAAUGUAUUCUAAUGCUACAGAUGUAUUAAUAUGUGUAAACUAGCUCAGGGCAGUAUGGGUGUGACAUGGCGCAUCAGGUUCAACAUGAUAUUUAACAUAAUGAGUCUUAAUUUACAAAUGAGCCUCCUAACUUCAAGAUACAGUUUCUGAUUUAAACACUAGGGGGCAAGAAACGCCUUCUUUUCAAUGCCCCUCCUCAGACACAAAGUCAUGUCUGCAGAAUCAUGCUUCACCACUCAUACUUUGAGCAGAGCUUUGAGGUAACAUUCCCACGAAUUACAUCUGUAAUAAACUGAUAUGUGCAUAACUACCAUCUUUAUUCAUUUAUUUUUACUAGCAAUUCAUGGAAAUAUUUGACCUUAAAGCCACAUUGGUUCAUCUUUUGGACACAAAACUAAACGAAUACAUGACUAUUAAGCACUAUUGGCAGUAGGUGUUUGACAUGAAAACUGAUUUUAUAGUUAAGUGAAUUUAAGCAGAUGGUUACACGAAUGUAAGUGAAUACUAACCUUGAGGAGGGCUAGGGCUACAUUGAAGAUGAUGCUCAGACCCUGAAAGAGAACAAUUAAACAUAAAUUAGGACACGAGGGGAAAAAGUAUCAUGUCUAUAUGCAUCAACAGGUUUCAAAAGUUUCAGCGUAUUGAUUUCUGAAACUGAAGAUAUUCUUCCAGAACUGAAAUUUGCGUGCAGUCCAGUGUGUUGGGUUUACUGUGCCUUGCUUUAAUCAUGUAUUGUUUCAUUACAAUAGCCAUUCAUUUUAAAACAAGAUAAAGCCAAAUUAUACUGUCUUUUGUACAUUAAAUCUAUAAUGUUUCUAUAUGA